rnacentral:rRNA from 1 species
AACAGGAUUAGAUACCCUGGUAGUCCACGCCGUAAACGAUGUCGACUUGGAGGUUGUGCCCUUGAGGCGUGGCUUCCGGAGCUAACGCGUUAAGUCGACCGCCUGGGGAGUACGGCCGCAAGGUUAAAACUCAAAUGAAUUGACGGGGGCCCGCACAAGCGGUGGAGCAUGUGGUUUAAUUCGAUGCAACGCGAAGAACCUUACCUACUCUUGACAUCCAGAGAACUUAGCAGAGAUGCUUUGGUGCCUUCGGGAACUCUGAGACAGGUGCUGCAUGGCUGUCGUCAGCUCGUGUUGUGAAAUGUUGGGUUAAGUCCCGCAACGAGCGCAACCCUUAUCCUUUGUUGCCAGCGGUUAGGCCGGGAACUCAAAGGAGACUGCCAGUGAUAAACUGGAGGAAGGUGGGGAUGACGUCAAGUCAUCAUGGCCCUUACGAGUAGGGCUACACACGUGCUACAAUGGCGCAUACAAAGAGAAGCGACCUCGCGAGAGCAAGCGGACCUCAUAAAGUGCGUCGUAGUCCGGAUUGGAGUCUGCAACUCGACUCCAUGAAGUCGGAAUCGCUAGUAAUCGUAGAUCAGAAUGCUACGGUGAAUACGUUCCCGGGCCUUGUACACACCGCCCGUCACACCAUGGGAGUGGGUUGCAAAAGAAGUAGGUAGCUUAACCUUCGGGAGGGCGCUUACCACUUUGUGAUUCAUGACUGGGGUGAAGUCGUAACAAGGUAACC